CAUAAAGUAGGUACUUGCAUACCUCUGUAAAGAAGAUUAUUGGCAGUUAAGGUUCUAUCGAGCAUCAAGGACCAGAGAAAAUUUUACCUUUAACAGCAACCCGUUUGCCACACUAAUUUGAAAGGGAAAGAAACAUGUUUAGCAGCUUGAGUUUGUCUAGCUAUGUGAAUUGAUUCUCUUCCCAAUCAUACUUUCUCCUUCCCAAUAUAAACAACAUAGCUAUGUGAAUUUAAGCUCAAGUAAUAUGUCUCAAAAUAAUCGUAAAUGUAAAUGCUGGGUCUAAUCAACCAAAAUGAAGUCCAGGCACAUUCUAUAUUUUUAUAUAAUUUUUCAUAUUUCUCCGUGCAUGCUAUCAGUUUCCAUUUACAUUGGUGGGAAUUAAAUACACGAAAUAACUUUUUUUUCUUUUCCUUGGAUAACACUCCUGUUUCGUAGCAUUAAAAAUCCUUAUUUCUUUUCAAACUGAUGGAUCAUAAAUGGACAUAUAUUCUAGUGUUUUCUUAAUCAUUCUAAUUGGUCAUUGUGUAUAAAUAAGCCUGAAAUUAGAAUUAUAAUACAACUCAAAAUAUAUUGCAUCAAACCAGUGGCCAAUUAGAAGGAUUAAAAAAUCUUCUCAUAAUCUACCCUAUUUUACCUGGAAAAUCAGUCUACAUUCUGAUCAUAAAUGCACAACACUUCAGUUCAUUUCAUACAGUUCCAAGUAAAACAUUAUAUUAGUCUUACUCUAUAUUUCCUAAACAACUUCUAAAUCUAAAUUAUAUGUUGAAAGAAGAAUACAAAAAUUACAAACUACUCUAAAUUAAACUCUAAAAGAAGAAUAGAAACAAACAUUUGAAAUAAGGAAGCAACUGAAGGUCUCCAAAUAAUUCUGAUAUUUUGAGGAGCGAGAAUGGAAAUAGAAAAACAAAGCUAUCUUUUCUUUUAUAGUAAAAGUAGAACAGUAGAAGGGGUCGAAGAUUAAUAUACAAAUUGCACUUUCAACCAAUUGGAUGUUUAGUUUUAAUUAGUUAACUUACCUUUCUAUGUGGAAUGUGGUAGCAAAUUUUCGCCGGCUUUGAGUUUGAACCAUUUUGUGCAAUCGUUCACUCAAAUCUGCAUUAAAAGAGAAGAACAAAUAUUCAAUAUUUCAUAAUUAUCCAUGUGGGUCGUUCAUAAUCUACAUGAACUUUUUAGGGCUCGAAAUCUUAAUGAAAGAAAAUAAUAUACUCUUGGAACUGGGACCAACAAUUUUUUUUUUUAUCAUAUUAAAUAAUAGCAACAUGAUAUGGGAGGGUUGUAUGACAUACUCACUCUCAUAGUUAACUACCAAAAUUUCUCUUCCAUAAAUAAAAACGUGUGAAGUCAGAUAAAAUCACCUUAUUAUACUUCAUCAAUCAUAGAGAACCCACCUUAUAUGUGACGGUGGACCACAACUGCAACAUUAUCAGUAUCAUCUGCGAUUCUGCAAAUCUGAGGUAAAUUACAAAACAACAAAAACAUUUGCAUGAGCCUUCAUAUCAACUAACCAAAAUUAAAUAAGGAAAACAAAAAUGUAUUUCAUGAGGUGCUCAGAAUUCUUGAAAUUCAAAUGUAGACAUAUUUACCUCUUUGUAUCCAAACAAAAAGCUGGGGAAAGGAAUAGUUUCAGUGUUAUAGGUAUACAAUAUGAAAAUUGGACAGUUUCAUUAACUUCACCAGAUAUAUUUCUUGUGCACUAACACAAACCUUUGCUAGAUUACCUACAAACUUAUCAUUGACGCUGCUUUUAAACUCGAGCUAUAUAAAGAUUGAUGGUAAGUGUAUAAAAUCAAUUAGAGAGUGCAAAGCAACGGGAGUCUUACUUGUCAUAACAUUAAGCGAAUCACUAUAAGGGAUACUUUUUUUUACUAAUUAAACUGUAAGGGUAUUAUAGAGCAGAUCUGGUUCCUCAAUUCAAUUUGCAACUGAUAGACAUAAAAUAGUAAAUGAAAAAUCUUGUUACCAUAUAUAAAGGGACAUAUCAAGAAAUUUAAGUACAGG
rnacentral:lncRNA from 1 species